CAAAGGCAGUGUUGCUGAGUGUGGGAGAGGAAUGGCGCCGGUGGCUUAAGGAACAAGAACAGGAGCCGCUGGAAAAGCUGAGCAGGUCCGGCAGCUCGUGUCGGGAGGAAUGUGAGGAGGUGUUUCGGGUCCGGGGAUCCUCCUUCAGAACAGGACCAGGUUUCAGGAACAUCCCGGGGAGGUCGCCAGGCCCCGAGCGCCAAGACCUGGCUCCUGCCCCCGGGGAGAGGAGACAGUGAGACAGGGAAAACAGGCGGAAAGAAAUCUGGAAACAAUUAAUACAUCGACUUCUGGCAGAGCUACUUGAUUCAUUGGGACUUGAAUAUCAGCCACCUCCAAUACAGAAGAAACGUUUGCUUUUGUUAGCUUGAGAGAUUUUGGACUCGAGUGUGGCAGGAAGAAUACUGAGACACCCGAGUGAGGAAGAUACAGUGCCCUGACUGAAAAGUGCUUCAAACCAUUUACUCAGCUUGGGGGAUCAAUCUCACCUGUCAUGUUGGGGACAGGUUCUGUGUACCUGUUCUGUUUUAAUUUCAAAUCCAGAGUGACACAAGGAAAGCUCGUCCCCAUGGGGAAACCAUGGAAAUGUGAGGAUUGUGGGAAAGGGUUCCUUUCCCCCUCGAUGCUAGAAACUCACAGACGCGUUUGCACUAGGGAGAGGCCAUUCUCCUACACCGACUGUGGGAAGGGAUACAGUUGGCUGUGCAAUCUGCUGGCACACCAGGCAAACAGUUUCUGGUGGGAGAAAUCCUGUAUCCUGGGAAGGUGCGUAAAUAAGAAAAAGGGCUGUUGAAAGCAUUUUAACUGUGGAACCACCAGCUUUCAUGGGAGCAGUGCAUUUAUCAAAAACAUUUCUGAGGAAUUGUGUAUAACUGCGAGACUGAAAAUAUUUUCCCCACUGAACGUUACGCGGACACUGAGAAUGUUACACAUUAUAAAGUGUGUUCCGGAGAAAUGGAGGAGGAUUGAACUUGCCAAUGUGAACCAAACUUUGCAGAGAAAGGAAAUUUCCCAGGACAGAAGAGGUUGAUGGAAGUCAAUAACUGUCACAUUAUUUGAUGAAAAUAACAGCUUGUAUGGGGAGAUUACUGGGCAUCCCAGAAGAUUUGUACAGAACAUGAAAAAUCUUUUUUUUCUGGGUGUCCAGACCAAUAUUUAUUCCUCAAUCAAAAUCACAAAAAUAAAUUAUCGUAUCAGUAUCACAUC